rnacentral:rRNA from 1 species
AGGGUUCAAUCAUGCUCAGGAUGAACGCUGGCGGCGUGCUUAACACAUGCAAGUCGAACGAAGCACCUCAGAUUGAUUUCUUCGGAAGGAUUUCUUUGGUGACUGAGUGGCGGACGGGUGAGUAACGCGUGGGUAACCUGCCUCAUACAGGGGGAUAACAGUUAGAAAUGACUGCUAAUACCGCAUGAGCGCACAGUACCGCAUGGUACAGUGUGAAAAACUCCGGUGGUAUGAGAUGGACCCGCGUCUGAUUAGCUCGUUGGCGGGGUAACGGCCCACCAAGGCGACGAUCAGUAGCCGACCUGAGAGGGUGAUCGGCCACAUUGGGACUGAGACACGGCCCAA